rnacentral:rRNA from 1 species
AGAACGAACGCUGGCGGCAGGCUUAACACAUGCAAGUCGAACGCACCGCAAGGUGAGUGGCAGACGGGUGAGUAACGCGUGGGAAUCUACCCAAUACUACGGAAUAGCUCCGGGAAACUGGAAUUAAUACCGUAUGUGCCCUACGGGGGAAAGAUUUAUCGGUAUUGGAUGAGCCCGCGUUGGAUUAGCUAGUUGGUGAGGUAAUGGCCCACCAAGGCGACGAUCCAUAGCUGGUCUGAGAGGAUGAUCAGCCACACUGGGACUGAGACACGGCCCAGACUCCUACGGGAGGCAGCAGUGGGGAAUAUUGGACAAUGGGCGAAAGCCUGAUCCAGCCAUGCCGCGUGAGUGAUGAAGGCCUUAGGGUUGUAAAGCUCUUUCAGUAGGAAGAUAAUGACGGUACCUACAGAAGAAGCCCGGCUAACUUCGUGCCAGCAGCCGC